rnacentral:lncRNA from 1 species
AUUUUGUAUAAUUUACUAACUUCUGAAAAGUGACAAAUGGCUGGGAAUGUGUUUAGGGUCUAAGUGUGAUGUGACUUGGACUGUCCCUAACUGCCAGGGGACGGGAGUGCUCAAGCAGGGUACGGGGGACCAGACCCUCACACCCAUCUGGAGGAGCAAAAGGGCUGUGUGCUUUUCAGUAGGAAACUAACAGGAGUUGGUCACAAAUGAAAGGCUAAGCCCAGAUUUUCAAAUGAUAGAAAACAGCUGCAAUCUUAAAAGCAUGCUCUAUAAAACGUAACCACCAGUAUCUGCCAG